rnacentral:lncRNA from 14 species
GCCCCACCUGCAUUUGAGAGAAGGAAAAAAGCCCCAAAGCUUUAUUUUUAACUCCGUGUACAUACCUUGUCCACUCCAUUACAACACACAAAUCCCAGUUCACACUGUAGGUGAGCCAUGGGGUCUGCAAGACACCACUGCUGCAGACAGGGAUGGUACAGGCAUGGAUGCUCACUGUUGUACCUUGUUUCCUACAGAAAGUAUGUAAAGAGCUUGAGGGAGAGAAAGCUUUUAAUUUUAUAUUAUUAAUAUUCUUCUCCUCUUACAGGAAUUUGUACCUCUGCAUCCCUCCAGCAGUUGAGUACCAUGCGAGUGGAUCUGGGGCUGCCUGCAGUGGAUGACCCAAAAUCUUACUUACUUAUUUACCUUACUGCACUUGAGGUCUGUGAUAUAUAAAACAUGUAACAGCAAUUCUUUUUCUUUUCCCUUUUUCCCCUCUUUUCCUACUUUCUUUUCCCUUUGUCAAGCCAGAGGCCCGUGGCUGUAGCUGUGCUCUGCACUCCUGGACUAUGUGGAGAUGUUGAUGGAGGCAGUGGGGCUGAGCAUGUGGAUGUGCAUGUGUGUGAAGAGCCGGCCCCAACUCCACAGCCCCUUUCCCACCUCACAGACCCUGAGGCAGAUCUCCCUCCUUUGGGUUGCCUGGAAACUUGUCAAUCUGUCAGCGCAUUUAUGGUGCUGAAGAGAGGCGUCGUGUUGGAGCGAUGUUCCCAUUUGCAAAAUGGUAACUUCUAUUUGUUGUUCUGGGGAACUGGUUUCACACGCUGCGGAGCUGACAUCUCUUCGGGAGCACAGCUGAGUCCAACAUGUUCAGAACAGCCAUCCACCCAAACGCCUCCUACUCAAGCACUCAGACCUUCCUUCCUUCCUUCCCGGUAAAUAGAAAAUACAGAGACAGACUUGAAUUGUUCCAAAUUGUUUCACUGAAAUAUCUACCCAUGUUCAAAUCUGAUAAAUGGGUAUUUAUCUGGCCCAGGAAGUCAGUUUAGUGUGGGAAUAGGAUGGCUCUACAAAGAGGAAACCAAGUUUUUGGAAUAGUUAAUGAAAGGUCUGACUGGCUUUCUCUGGUGUCAAUGUUUUAAAGGGGUCCUGUGUGCCAUGAAAAUAUAAUGUUGAAAUCAACAAUUUUGUGACAGAAAAUAAAGUAAUCAUAAGCUCUGCUUCUACUACA